CCCCUAGAUGUUCUGGGCUGCACACGCGCUACACUGAAGGGAUCAGCGUGUUCUUUUCCUGGUCCGAAAGGAUCGGGUAACCCGCUGAACCCCCUUCGUGGUAGGGAUCGGAGCUUGCAAUUAUUCUCCGUGAACCAGGAAUUCCCAGUAAGCGCAAGUCAUAAGCUUGCGUUGAUUACGUCCCUGCCCUUUGUACACACCGCCCGUCGCUACUACCGAUUGGACGUUUUAGUGAGGAUUUUGGACUGAGCCAAUGGUGGUUCACACCACUGUUGUGCAUGGAAAGAUCUCCAAACUUGAGCGUUUAGAGGAAGUAAAAGUCGUAACA
rnacentral:rRNA from 1 species